AUUGAACGCUGGCGGCAGGCCUAACACAUGCAAGUCGAGCGGAAACGAGUUAUCUAAACCUUCGGGGAACGAUAACGGCGUCGAGCGGUGGACGGGUGAGUAAUGCCUAGGAAAUUGCCCUGAUGUGGGGGAUAACCAUUGGAAACGAUGGCUAAUACCGCAUGAUGCCUACGGGCCAAAGAGGGGGACCUUCGGGCCUCUCGCGUCAGGAUAUGCCUAGGUGGGAUUAGCUAGUUGGUGAGGUAAGGGCUCACCAAGGCAACGAUCCCUAGCUGGUCUGAGAGGAUGAUCAGCCACACUGGAACUGAGACACGGUCCAGACUCCUACGGGAGGCAGCAGUGGGGAAUAUUGCACAAUGGGCGCAAGCCUGAUGCAGCCAUGCCGCGUGUGUGAAGAAGGCCUUCGGGUUGUAAAGCACUUUCAGUCGUGAGGAAGGUAGUGUGUUUAAUAGAUGCAUUAUUUGACGUUAGCGACAGAAGAAGCACCGGCUAACUCCGUGCCAGCAGCCGCGGUAAUACGGAGGGUGCGAGCGUUAAUCGGAAUUACUGGGCGUAAAGCGCAUGCAGGUGGUUUGUUAAGUCAGAUGUGAAAGCCCGGGGCUCAACCUCGGAAUAGCAUUUGAAACUGGCAGACUAGAGUACUGUAGAGGGGGGUAGAAUUUCAGGUGUAGCGGUGAAAUGCGUAGAGAUCUGAAGGAAUACCGGUGGCGAAGGCGGCCCCCUGGACAGAUACUGACACUCAGAUGCGAAAGCGUGGGGAGCAAACAGG
rnacentral:rRNA from 1 species